UGAGCCCUGAGGUACUGGAACUGCGUA
rnacentral:piRNA from 1 species